AAAUUUAAAAUCCCUCAAUUUAACUAUUCAUUGUUUUAAGAUUAUUUUUUAAAAAUUGUAGUUUAAGCUUUUUUUAAAAGGUGUAGUAAAUAAGUUUUUAAUUUAAAAAAAUUAUAAAAUUAUCAAAAGAGAUUAAUACAUUUAUAAUAUUUUUUUAUUGACCCGAGUUUUGAAAGUGGUUGUCUAUGUGCCAAUGAAAUUGGC
rnacentral:lncRNA from 1 species